UGGGGAAUAUUGCACAAUGGGCGAAAGCCUGAUGCAGCAACGCCGCGUGGGUGAUGAAGGCCUUCGGGUUGUAAAGCUCUGUCUUCUGGGACGAUAAUGACGGUACCAGAGGAGGAAGCCACGGCUAACUACGUGCCAGCAGCCGCGGUAAUACGUAGGUGGCAAGCGUUGUCCGGAUUUACUGGGCGUAAAGGAUGCGUAGGCGGAUACUUAAGUCAGAUGUGAAAAUCCCGGGCUUAACUUGGGAACUGCAUUUGAAACUGGGUAUCUAGAGUGCGGGAGAGGAAAGUGGAAGUCCUAGUGUAGCGGUGAAAUGCGUAGAUAUUAGGAAGAACACCAGUGGCGAAGGCGACUUUCUGGACCGUAACUGACGCUGAGGCAUGAAAGCGUGGGGAGCAAACA
rnacentral:rRNA from 1 species